GUAUUCACUUUGGCAGCACAUAUACUAAAACUGGAGCCAUCAGAGAUUAGCGUGGCCCCUGUACAAGGUUGGCAAUCAAAUUUAUAAAGCAUUCGAUAUUAAA